rnacentral:tRNA from 3 species
AGGGACUUAGGUUAAUAUCAGACCAAGAGCCUUCAAAGCCCUAAGCGAGAGUGAAAAUCUCCCAGCCCCUG